ACACUUAUUAUUAGUUACUCUGAGGUUCUCAAUGUGAAUUUUAGAUAGUGACAUAUCCUUUGGCCAAUACUUGAACAAUCUUCACACAAGAUGUGAAGAACAUGACAACAAACUGUAACUAAGGGUAUCAAAGAACAUAGUUAAGGACUCCUGGCUGUGAUGGCCGUUUUCAGUAAGACAUUAUUCUACAGGACACUUUCUGGAGUAUGAAUUCAACAUAUUAGAAACUACAUUGUGGAGGUUUCCCCUGAAGAAAAAAAAGUAGUUGGGAAACCCAUGACAAUAAGGAUCUGAAAUUAAUGUGGUAUGAAAGUGAGGGUAGGUGCACAGCUCUGGGCCAGCCACACAGAGUUAGGGCCACUGUCUCAACAUCUGAAAGAGACUGGGCUUGAACAGUGAUGAAUACAUUAACCAGGGGGCUGGAUCUACAUUGCUCACACUUGAGCAGAGAUUGGAAUCCAGCUGACUGUGAAUGAGUGUGGAAGAGCCCCCUGCUGGAGGCAAAUGACUGGAGCCCUGUGCAUAUGCUGGGCCAUGGAGGAAGAGCACAAGUAUAUUCUCUGGAACAGAGCUCUUAAGGGACUGGGCUAAGUCAGCCAGCAUCCUCCUCCUCCUCACCCCACCCAAUGAAUCUCACACUCUCUGGAGGCUGGAGCAUAGUGGCACAAUCUUGGCUCACUGAAACCUCUGACUCCCAGGUUCCAGCGAGUCUUGUGUCUCACCCACCUGAGUAGCUGGGAUUACAGGCUCACACCAUCAUGCCCGGCUAAUUUUUGUAAUUUUAGUAGAGACAAGGUUUCACUAUGUUGGCCAGGCUGGUCUUGAACUCCUGGCCUCAAGUGAUCCACCGCCUUGGCCUCCCGAAGUGCUGGGAUUACAGGCAUAAGCCACCAUGCCCAGUCUCUAAUGUCUUUUAAUGAAGUGUUAAAUUAAAUUAAACUACCUAAAAUUACCAACAAUCAUCUGUUUUUGAUCAAAAAGAAUCUUGAUCAAUUUCAUUUAGUUCAGUGUAAAACCCUGAUGUAACAGACCUCUAUAACUUGUUAGAUUUAUAGACAGCAUACCUAACUUUAAUUUUAAUGUUGUUCAAUUAUUUGUUGAUGUACGACUUGCUUAACAUAUUGUGUAGGUUAAAAUGUUGAGAUUCAGAGAGACCAUUAAAACUGCCCAAAGUCAGACAUCC
rnacentral:lncRNA from 10 species